UUAUGGGCGGCAACCUCACGAGGGCCGUCCAAUCGUUAUUGGACAACUGAAGCCCAGAGUGGCAUGAGGCCCACCCAAUAGCGGGCCAAGCUGGAGGUUCGCGGCUUCAGGCGCCCAAUGUGGGCCUUGUGCCGAAGAAGUAGGGGCGGGGGGAAGUUUAGGAGUUGAGGAAAGAAGAUUAAAGAGCGCGAGGAGAUCUCAUCAGGAGAAGUAGUAAGGAGAAACUGCUUUAAAACAUUUGGGAUAUGGAAGUGGUGUUAUUUUCUGAAAUAAUUAUGUUUUUCUUACACGGAUGGAGACAUCAUCAGCUUGUGGAAGACAGUUCUGGAUACUUGGGAUGAAACAAUGAAGCAAAGGGGAAAUUGUUGGUGUCUGUGGAGCUUACAUACAGUUUGUACACUCCACAUUGCUAAGAGAUUUUUCUUUAAAAAUUACACUUCAAAAAUCUAGUUGCUUUUGUGUUUUACAAACUCCUGUUUUAAGGAGCUUACUAAGUUUGAAGGUGUAGAACAUGUUUAUGAUUGCCAAAUAAAUAGAGGAAGAACUCAGUUUAUUUAAAUUAUUUGUAUCCUUUGUUAUUGUGAAAUGUUUUCAUAAAAUUUCAGUAAAUCUUUGAGUUUUUUUUAAUUCACAAUUUUGGUCAUGUCUUUGGAAUAAAUAAAAUGUUGCUUUGUAGUAAA